AGCGAACGCUGGCGGCAGGCCUAACACAUGCAAGUCGAGCGGGCACCUUCGGGUGUCAGCGGCAGACGGGUGAGUAACACGUGGGAACGUGCCCUUUGGUUCGGAACAACUCCGGGAAACUGGAGCUAAUACCGGAUAAGCCCUUCGGGGGAAAGAUUUAUCGCCAAAGGAUCGGCCCGCGUCUGAUUAGCUAGUUGGUAGGGUAACGGCCUACCAAGGCGACGAUCAGUAGCUGGUCUGAGAGGAUGAUCAGCCACACUGGGACUGAGACACGGCCCAGACUCCUACGGGAGGCAGCAGUGGGGAAUAUUGGACAAUGGGCGAAAGCCUGAUCCAGCCAUGCCGCGUGAGUGAUGAAGGCCCUAGGGUUGUAAAGCUCUUUUAGCGGGGAAGAUAAUGACGGUACCCGCAGAAUAAGCCCCGGCUAACUUCGUGCCAGCCGCCGCCGUAACAC
rnacentral:rRNA from 1 species